GACGAACCGUGCAAACGUUGUUCGGAAUCACUGGGCUUAAAGGGCGCGUAGGUGGAUGAGCAAGUCUGUGGUGAAAUCCCCCGGCUUAACCGGGGAACUGCCGUGGAUACUGCCCAUCUCGAGGAGGGUAGGGGCGUCUGGAACUAGCGGUGGAGCGGUGAAAUGCGUUGAUAUCGCUAGGAACUCCGGUGGCGAAGGCGAGACGCUGGACCCUUUCUGACACUGAGGCGCGAAAAGCCAGGGGAGCGAACGGGG
rnacentral:rRNA from 1 species